GAUGAAGAACGCAGCGAAAUGCGAUAAGUAAUGCGAAUUGCAGAAUUCCAGUGAGUCAUCGAAUCUUUGAACGCACAUUGCGCCCUUUGGUAUUCCGAAGGGCAUGCCUGUUCGAGCGUCAUUAUCACCCCUCAAGCCCUCGGCUUGGUGUUGGACGGUUUGGUGGAGGCCCCCUCGGGGGCUCCUGCCCCUCCCAAAGACAAUGACGGCGGCCUCGCUGGACCCCCGGUACACUGAGUUCUUCACGGGACACGUAUCGGACACAUGGGUUUACGGGACACGGUCUGCCUCCCCUCAGGGAGAAUCUUUCUAAGGUUGACCUCGGAUCAGGUAGGGAUACCCGCUGAACUUAAGCAUAUCAAUAAGCGGAGGA
rnacentral:misc_RNA from 1 species